GCCAGGUGCGGUGGCCCAUGCCCAUAGUCCUAGCUAUUCAGAAGGCUGAGGUGGGAGAAUCGCUUGAGCCCAGGAGUUCUGGUCUAUAGUGUGCUAUGCCAAUCAGGUGUCUGCACUAAGUUCGGCAUCAAUAUGGUGACCUCCUGGGAGCAGGGGACCACCAGGUUGCCUAAGGAGGGGUGAACCGGCCCAGGGCAGAAAUGGAGCAGGUCAAAACUCCCGUGCUGAUCAGUAGUGAGAUUGCACCUGUGAAUAGCCACUGCACUCCAGCCUGGGUAACACAGUGAGACCCUGUCUCU
rnacentral:SRP_RNA from 1 species